GCGUAAAGAGCUCGUAGGCGGUUUGUCGCGUCUGCUGUGAAAGCCCGGGGCUUAACCCCGUGGUGUGCAGUGGGUACGGGCAGACUUGAGUGCAGUAGGGGAGACUGGAAUUCCUGGUGUAGCGGUGAAAUGCGCAGAUAUCAGGAGGAACACCGAUGGCGAAGGCAGGUCUCUGGGCUGUUACUGACGCUGAGGAGCGAAAGCAUGGGGAGCGAACAGGAUUAGAUACCCUGGUAGUCCAUGCCGUAAACGUUGGGCACUAGGUGUGGGGGACAUUCCACGUUUUCCGCGCCGUAGCUAACGCAUUAAGUGCCCCGCCUGGGGAGUACGGCCGCAAGGCUAAAACUCAAAGGAAUUGACGGGGGCCCGCACAAGCGGCGGAGCAUGCGGAUUAAUUCGAUGCAACGCGAAGAACCUUACCAAGGCUUGACAUACACCAGACCGGCCCAGAGAUGGGUUUUCCUCUUUGAGGUUGGUGUACAGGUGGUGCAUGGUUGUCGUCAGCUCGUGUCGUGAGAUGUUGGGUUAAGUCCCGCAACGAGCGCAACCCUCGUUCUAUGUUGCCAGCACGUGAUGGUGGGGACUCAUAGGAGACUGCCGGGGUCAACUCGGAGGAAGGUGGGGAUGACGUCAAAUCAUCAUGCCCCUUAUGUCUUGGGCUUCACGCAUGCUACAAUGGCCGGUACAAUGGGUUGCGAUACCGUGAGGUGGAGCUAAUCCCAAAAAGCUGGUCUCAGUUCGGAUCGUGGUCUGCAACUCGACCACGUGAAGUCGGAGUCGCUAGUAAUCGCAGAUCAGCAACGCUGCGG
rnacentral:rRNA from 1 species